GACGAACGCUGGCGGCGUGCUUAACACAUGCCAGUCGAACGGAAAGGCCCUGCUUGCAGGGUACUCGAGUGGCGAACGGGUGAGUAACACGUGGGUGAUCUGCCCUGCACUUCGGGAUAAGCCUGGGAAACUGGGUCUAAUACCGGAUAGGAGCCAUUUUUAGUGUGAUGGUUGGAAAGUUUUUUCGGUGUAGGAUGAGCUCGCGGCCUAUCAGCUUGUUGGUGGGGUAAUGGCCUACCAAGGCGGCGACGGGUAGCCGGCCUGAGAGGGUGGACGGCCACAUUGGGACUGGGGAACGGCCCAGAAUCCUAAGGGGGGGAGGAGUGGGGAAUAUUGCACAAAGGGGGCAAGCCUGAUGCAGCGGCGCCGCGGGGGGGAUGGCGGCCUUCGGGUUGUAAACUCCUUUCGCGAGGGACGAAGCUUUUUGUGACGGUACCUGGAGAAGAAGCACCGGCUAACUACGUG
rnacentral:rRNA from 1 species